AAAGUCGUAACAAGGUUUCCGUAGGUGAACCUGCGGAAGGAUCAUUAGCAAAAAUCUGUUUGUGGUUUUGGGGGGAGAGAAGGUGGGGGAAGGAAGAAGGUUAAACUUUUUCCAUCUCUCUGUCUCACUCAACUCUCUAACCACAAAAUAUUCACUCGGACUGUCUAUCAUAGACAGUCUCGAGAAUAUAUUCACGAUUGUAUUGUUUGACCGAGUCAUGUGACCUCAAAUUAAAGAUAACUUUUAACAAUGGAUCUCUUGGCUCUU
rnacentral:misc_RNA from 1 species